rnacentral:rRNA from 1 species
AAGGGCCUACGGGACGCAGCAGUGAGGAAUAUUGGUCAAUGGUCGGGAGACUGAACCAGCCAAGCCGCGUGAGGGAGGAAGGUACAGAGUAUCGUAAACCUCUUUUGUCAGGGAACAAAGACUGGGACGCGUCCCCGGAUGAGUGUACCUGAAGAAAAAGCAUCGGCUAACUCCGUGCCAGCAGCCGCGGUAAUACGGAGGAUGCGAGCGUUAUCCGGAUUUAUUGGGUUUAAAGGGUGCGCAGGCGGUCUGUUAAGUCAGCGGUCAAAGCCCGGGGCUCAACCCCGGCCCGCCGUUGAAACUGG